UACAGAGGGGGCAAGCGUUAUUCGGAAUUAUUGGGCGUAAAGGGCGCGUAGGCGGCCUGGCAAGUGGAUGGUGAAAUCCCUCGGCUUAACCGAGGAACUGCCAUCCAGACUGCUUGGCUUGAGACCGGGAGAGGUGAGUGGAAUUCCCAGUGUAGCGGUGAAAUGCGUAGAUAUUUGGAGGAACACCAGUGGCGAAGGCGGCUCACUGGACCGGUACUGACGCUGAGGCGCGAAAGCGUGGGGAGCAAACGGG
rnacentral:rRNA from 1 species